rnacentral:lncRNA from 1 species
GUUCUAGGUCCCAAUUCUACUGCAAAUAGUAUCAUGGCAUCUUAUCAGCAACAGAAGACUUCGGUUCCUGUUCUUGAUGCUGAGCUUUUUAUACCACCAAAGAUCAACAGAAGAACCCAGUGGAAGCUGAGCCUGCUAGACUGAGUGACUGCAGUUAGGAGGGAUCCGACAGAGAAGACCAUUUCCACUCAUUCCUGUUGUCCUACCACCCCUUGCUCUUUGAGGGCUGGCUAUUGAGAACUGGAAAGAGUAAAAUGAUAACUUACCUUAGCAUUGCCAAGAACUUCAGCAGACAACAAGCAAUUCUAUUUAUUUUAUGUUGUGUAUACAUCUUGAUCAUUAGCAAGACAUUAAGCUUUAACCAUUAUGGCACCAUUUUGUGAGAAUGAUUGUUCUUUCACUUGGGCUGUUUGAGAGCAUAAUUAUGGUAAUCAUGAGAUUAAUGUUUCAUGAUUUCUACCUCCAAAGUGUGAAGACAAGUAAAACAAUGUUUCUAAAUUGUCUUAUUUUGUUGGCGGAGAAGAUUACAAUGGCUAUUAGUGCUACAUUUGGUCAAAUGUAAUCACUUAAAUAGCUUCUUGUCACCUUAAACUAAAGCAGAAUAAAAAGUAUCCUUUGAAAUU